rnacentral:rRNA from 1 species
AUGGCACCCAACGAGGCCGCCUCCUCGCGACGCUGGCAUCUAGGAGCUCGCACGUCUUCUCCCUCGCCUCCAUGCCACCACUACGGAGCACCUCACCAACGUGACCAGCCCCGAUGCGCCCUCCAUCUCCUUCCUCUCUCCCUUGUUUUUCUUUUUCCCUCUCCCUCUCCCUCCAGUUUUACUCACCUCCCAUGCCCAUGCCUGCGCAGGUCGUCGACAUGGCCAACCAGGAGCUCUUUGCCUUGUCCCGAAGAGAAUGCUCACACCGUCAUCUUGCUCUGCCCUGGAUCCAGUCCCUCUUCAACAACCGUCGCCGGAUCUGGUCUGUUGCUACUCGUCCACACAUUCGGCGACCCCUGUUGUCACUAG